rnacentral:tRNA from 1 species
GGCACUUUGGCGGAGUGGUUAACGCGUUGCCCUGCUAUGCAUUCUACGAAUAUAGACGAGCCAGGCAAUUCCUUCGGGAGCAAGAGUUCGAAUCUCUUAGGUGUCG